rnacentral:lncRNA from 1 species
AUGUAAAAUGUAAAUGUAAAUGUAAUGAUUCUUUGUGUUAAGCUCAAUUGAGCCUGUCACAACUUUAGUGCUCAUAGCAGCAUCACAGGAUUUUUCAAACUUUUCACUAUUUAUUUCUCCUGUACUAAUUUUACCUGCGAUGCUGGCACUGCUUUUCGCUAAUGGCACAUUUAAACCAUUAGCUACUCAUUUUCCUCACGAGGCUGAGUUGGCCCCGCACACCCAGUCACGAAAAUCGAUAAUUUGAAUGAUUCAAAUUUUCGACCCGCCCGGGAAUCGAACCUGAGACCCCCGCGUGCAAGACGAGUGCUAUGACCACUGCGCCAUGGGAGCUGACUAU